ensembl:misc_RNA Metazoa_SRP Metazoan signal recognition particle RNA
CCAGGAGUUCUGGGCUGUAGAGCAUUGUGCUGAUCAGAUGUCCAAACUAAAUUCAGCAUCAACAUGGUGACCUUGUGGGGAGCCGGAGGACCACCAGGUUGCCUCAGGAGGCAUGAAGUGGUCCAGGUUGCAAUUGGAGCAGAAUAAAACUCCCAUACUGAUCAAUAGUGGGAUCAUGCUUGUGGAUAGCAACUGCAUUCAAAUCCUGG